GUCCAGCCGAGGCGUGUGGCUAACUGAACCCCCGCGCUGUUUGCCCAGGCAGCUCCGGGAGCUCUACCGCCUUGCAUGGAAACCGGGCUAUUUGCAAAGGGGCCUUCGCUCCAUGCAGAGGCCAGGAGCCCGGGAGACAUGCGUGGCACACACUGAGGGGACGUGCAGCGCAGGGUCUAAACAAGCCCAAGGUGGCAAUACAGCAGAUUGAACACCAUGACAUGCUGAAACCUGGCUGGUUUUAUGAGGGAAACCAACUCAAAGCUGAUCCCACCCCCAAGAUGAGAAAAGACAUGAAGCUAUGACAUGCACAGCGUCAUUUUGGGGGUUCAAUUCUGAAGUUCCUGCUCAGGCUGCACUCCCAAUGAACUCCAUUCGGUUUUGCCUGCAGAAGCAGGCAGCGUGUUCUGAAGAAAAGAUCAGGAGACUGAGCAUCAGGACAUUCUGAGUUCAAAUGAGAUGUUUUUGUGAAAGAUCUGUUCUAGGAAUUAUUUUGAAGAAAUUCCGUGGCCUGUGUGAUACAGGAGGUCCAGAUGAGAUGAUCACAAUGGUUUGUUCUGGCCUAGGAAUCUAUUAAUCUACAUCCUAGUUUACCCAUUAAUUUGUUCUGCACCCUGAGAUGAAUUCCUUCAUCUUUCUGCCUCAGUUUCUCCAUCUGUAAAAUGAAGAUAAUAUUUGCGAUGGGCUGGAUCAUAGGAACCCCCUUGGGAACUGCCAAGUGAUGUGCCAAGACUACUUCUGCCCCUGCUUUCCCUGCCACCUCGGGACACCA